rnacentral:misc_RNA from 1 species
UCUCCGUUGGUGAACCAGCGGAGGGAUCAUUACAGAGUUGCAAAACUCCCAAACCAUUGUGAACGUUACCUAUCCCGUUGCUUUGGCGGGCGGCCCGGGCCCCGCGCCCGGCGCCCCCCGGCCCCCCGUGGGCGCCCGCCGGAGGUAAACCGAACCCUUGAAUUGCAUGGCCUCUCUGAGCCUUCUGUACUGAAUAAGUCAAAACUUUCAACAACGGAUCUCUUGGUUCUG